rnacentral:misc_RNA from 1 species
GAUGAAGAACGCAGCGAAAUGCGAUAAGUAAUGUGAAUUGCAGAAUUCAGUGAAUCAUCGAAUCUUUGAACGCACAUUGCGCCCCCUGGUAUUCCGGGGGGCAUGCCUGUCCGAGCGUCAUUACAACCCUCAAGCUCAGCUUGGUGUUGGGCCCCGCCGCCCCGGCGGGCCCUAAAGUCAGUGGCGGUGCCGUCCGGCUCCGAGCGUAGUAAUUCUUCUCGCUCUGGAGGUCCGGUCGUGUGCUCGCCAGCAACCCCCAAUUUUUUUCAGGUUGACCUCGGAUCAGGUAGGGAUACCCGCUGAACUUAAGCAUAUCAAUAAGCUGAGGA